rnacentral:lncRNA from 1 species
UUACCUUUCAUAACCCUCUCUCUCAUGCACUCACGCCUUUAUGCAGCCAGGCAACACGCCGGCAUCUCAUCUCCCAUAGGCCACGCACACGUUACAUGGAGUUCACCCACUCCGGGCCCAACAGCCUCUGGUUCAACUUACGCUCACGUGUACCUCUCCUUGGCCCAGCUGGCUCCUCUUUCUCCUUUGAACGGCCCACAUUGUCCAGUUUAACUCCCGCGCCUUCAGGUUCAGCAGCUUGUGGCGCCCUGCUGGUAACAUCCCCCCGGCGACGAGAACCUGCUUGCCCCCAAGCAGGUGCAUUGGGAAAUGUUUGCUUCAAUGUCUCCAGAUCUUCCCAAGUUGCCAACGACGAUGACAAUCCUGACCACUUGAUAAGCCCUUGAGCCACACCACUGGUAUUCAUCCGACGUUGUAACACUUGUACAGGGAUUUGUAGACCUUGCAAAGCAACUGGUAAUUCAGCAACCGCGACAGUAGAAGGAAUAGCUUUCUUCAAUUGAGAAACAUGAAAAACGGGAUGUAUAUUAGAGGAAGAAGGCAACUCCAACUUGUAAGCAACAGACCCGACUUUGGACACCACUGGAAAUGGCCCAAAGAACUUAAAUGCCAACUUCUGAUUUGCUCUUGGAGCUAGCGAAGACUGCACAUACGGCUGCAACUUGAGAUACACUGUAUCCCCCACCUCAAACACCCUCUCUGAACGGUUCUUAUCGGCCUGUACCUUCAUACGGUGUUGGGCGCGAGCCAAAUGCUGUUGAACCAAUUCAGUCAUCACUGCCUUCUCCUGGAUCCAAUCGGCCAAAGCAGGAACUGGACAAACUGCCUGAGCAUCGAUUCCAAAGUGUUUUGGCUGAUACCCAUAUAGCACUUCAAAAGGAGAAAAGCCCACAGCAGAGUGCAAGGAACAAUUGUACCAGUACUCAGCCAAGUAUAUCCACUGACACCAUUUAUGAGGACAGGCACUCACAAAGCAACGCAAAAAUGUUUCCAUGCAUUGAUUGACUCUUUCAGUUUGACCAUCCGACUGGGGAUGGUAUGCGCUGCUCAUUUGUAGGGACACCCCAGCAAGAGAAACAGAUGCUUCCAUAGCUGACUAGUGAAAAUACGAUCUCUGUCAGAAACGAUUGCUACAGGCAACCCAUGCAAUCUGUAAAUUUGUUGCAUAAAGACUUGUGCUACUGAAGCUGCUGAAAAAGGAUGUUUCAAGGGCACAAAGUGGCUAUAUUUAGAGAACUUAUCCACAACAACCAGGACACAGUUUUUCCCAGCAGAAAGAGGUAACCCUUCCACAAAAUCCAUACAAAUUGUUUGCCAAGCUCCAGUUGGUAUAGGUAGUGGCUGCAAUAACCCAGGAUAUUUGCUUCGAUCAGGUUUUGCUUGUUGGCAAAUGGAACAAGUGGUCACAAAAUCUUUUACUGUUUUCUUGAGACCAGGCCAGGCGAACAACUGCUUCACUCUGUGAUAAGUCACCGGAAAACCUGAAUGGCCACCAAUAGGUGAACUAUGCAUUGCUGCUAAAACUUGUGCAUGCAACUCAGUGUUGUUACCAAGCCAAAUCUUGCCCUUGUAGCGAAGUAGUCCCUCUCGAAACUCAAAAUUGGGAGCAGCAUCAGGAUCAAGAGUUAGUUUAGCAAUCAAAACUUUAGCUGCUUCAUCCUUCCAAUAUCCCUCACUGACAUCAUGACACCAUGUCGGCUGCAGGACAGACAUAGAAUGGCACAAUAUUUCUUCAUGGGGUCGCCUAGAAAGGGCAUCGGCCACCCGAUUCUGAGUCCCCGGUUUGUACACCACUCUGUAUUGUAAUCCGAGUAGCUUGGUAAAAACUUUCUGCUGCCAGGGUGUGUGUAGCCUUUGGUCAUUCAAGUGUGUCAAACUCUUUUGGUCAGUGAAUAUAACAAACUCAUCAUGGAGUAGAUACGGUCUCCAGUGGUCCACAGCAAUAAGGAUGGCCAAAUACUCCUUUUCAUAAGUUGAUAGACCUUGUGUUUUAGGUCCUAAGGCUUUGCUAAUGAAGGCCAAAGGGUGACCUUGUUGUAACAAGACAGCUCCCACACCAUUUCUACAGGCAUCUGGAGCUCCAGAAAGCCCAAAAGGCAUCACGACAAAUUCAAAGUGCCCACUGUGCGUUUGAAAUGCCGUUUUAAAUUCUUCACCUUGCCUCAACCUCACCUGAUGGUAACCCGAUAUCAAGUCCAAGGUUGAAAACCAACUGGCCCCGGCCAACUCAUCCAUCAGUUGAUCGAACACCGGUAUAGGGAAUUUGCUCUUCACAGUUAAGGCAUUGAGGUAGCGGUAGUCCACACAAAAUCGAUACGUUCCAUCCUUUUUUCGGACUAACAGCACCGGUGAGCUAAAUGAGGAUGAACUAGGCCUGAUGAGUCCUUGCUGCAUCAUAUCACUCACUUGUUUCUCAAUUUCGUCUUUCAAAGAUGGAGGAUAGCGAUAGGGUCUAAUGUUGACCGGCUGAGCUCCUGCUACCAACGGAAUCGAAUGAUCACAUGAUCUAACAGGUGGUAAUUCCACUGGGGCAGAAAAAACCACAGCAAACUUGUGUAACAAGGCUGAUAUUUCAGGCAACAAGGCAGGAGCUGCAGAAGUUAUCACUGGAUGAGACACCUGAGAUAUGUGAAUCAAGACUUCCUCAAACUGUGUAUGGUCUGAUCCCAGCAAGACAACAGGAGAGUUGUGAUAAGUAAUAGAUAGCCAUUUAUGGCGCCAAUGAAUAUGCAUAGGACUAUGAUUCUCCAGCCAAUCCAUACCCAAAAUUAUAUCAUAAGUCUGUAAUUGCAAAACCUUCAACUCUUGUUUAAACAGAUACCCCUGAAUACUCCAUUCUGCGUGAGGUAACAAGGAAGAACACUGCAUGACACCUCCAUUAGCCACUUUAACCUGCACUCGAGUAUCUACCACAGCAGUAGUCUGAAGCUUGUCCAACAAUAAUUGAUUGAUGAAUGAAUGGGUACUGCCUGAAUCAAUAAGGAUAGAGACUUCAAAAUUUUGCAUCGUCCCCAGAAACUGUAGAGUUCCUUUGGCAGCACCACCCACAACAGCUUCAGAUAACCAGACAGAGAACAAUUGUUCCUCCUGAACCGAUCCAACUUCGUCAGGGACUGGUACCUCCUCAAAGGAAAAUAGCUCCCAAACCUCCUGCAUCGCAUGGAGCUGAACUGAAGCUGCACAAGUAUGUCCCCGAUGCCACUUUUCAGCACACUUAUCACAUAACCCCUUAGCACGCCGAUAAGCUCUUAAUGCUUUCAUGCGAUCUUCAACUGAUUUAGAUGGUUGGACAGGACGCUGAUUUUCUUUGCCCAAACUGGGUCGACCCACAGCCAACGGUGAAGGUAAUGGAUGAGGCCCCUUUGGUUCCGACUUGUACCAAGGAGGUGUACUGCACUUGCGGUAAUCCUGGUGACGAACAGAAUCUGUUACCUCUUCCUGCAACAGGGCCAGCGUACACGCUGUGUCCAAAUCACCAGGUCGUUGCAUCAUCACCACAGCACGGACCUCAUCACGCAAUCCAUCCACAAAUCGCGUUGUGAAAUACAACGGAUCAUGCACAGAUUCAUAAGCAGCUAACUGAUCCAUCAAUGUACAAAACCGAUCAAUAUAAUCAGCUACAGACCCCGUUUGCCGGAUGCGAAACAGGUGACGCAAAAGCAUCUGAUGCUGAUUUUUACCAAACCUGUCCAAUAGCAGUUUACAGAAAAAGGACCAAGGAACUUCUACAUAACGAUGUUGUACUGCUUGAAACCAACAAGCCACAGGGGAAGUCAUAUGCAUGGACGCCACCCUCACCCACUCAUCCGGAUCCACAGAAUACAUAUCAAAGUAUGAUUGACAUCGAGAGAUCCACAAACGAGGGUUCUCACCUUCAAACUUCGGGAACGGGAGCUCAGGCAAUUUGCCGAGCGAUCGCAGCCCAGAAUCAGCACCCCUCGGUCGCUGGUGCCCCAUAUCCAUGUAAUCUGUAGGCGAACGAGUGUGCUGUGGUACCUGGGAGAAGGCCAAACGGGGGGAACCCUUGGUUGGAUCUGGCAGGUAAGUGAGCACAGAGCCGAAGCCGUGUUCCUUGAACUUGAACUCCUCCUGAUGGCCCAGCAAACCAUCGGUCUCCGAUCCGCCCAUCUGCUUCACCGGAAUCCCUCCUGGUUUCUGCAGCAAACCCGGUUCGACGGAACCCUCUCUAGAAGUCCGAUCCCAAAGUUUGUUGAACUUACGCAGUUCGAGCUUGACGUCUUCCAUGGCGGCGUCGACCUUGGGACGCCAGGUCGCCAACUCGGCCCCUGCCGAUUCCAACUCGCACAGACGAGUCUCCUUUCCAGCGGCAAUUUCAGAUAACUUGCGCUCCCACUUCAGAUCCAUGGCAGCAAACUUUUUCUCCAUCUCUUCUAGAAUCAACUUGGUAUUCGGAUCCAUUGCACCUUGACGGCGUUGCAACCGAGUGAAAUAGGUAUGAUCAGGAUCCAGCGCGGAUGAUGCCCAGAAUCGGUAGCUCUGAUACCAAAUGUGAGAUCUCCAACCACGACAGCGGGAAUUCCAGGAAGUAGUAGAGAUAGAAGGGAACAGAGGAUAGGCGGCAACGUGAAGAACACGUUGAUCAGAGAGUAGCUAGAGGAAUAUAAUUCUGUUACCUUUCAUAACCCUCUCUCUCAUGCACUCACGCCUUUAUGCAGCCAGGCAACACGCCGGCAUCUCAUCUCCCAUAGGCCACGCACACGUUACAUGGAGUUCACCCACUCCGGGCCCAACAGCCUCUGGUUCAACUUACGCUCACGUGUACCUCUCCUUGGCCCAGCUGGCUCCUCUUUCUCCUUUGAACGGCCCACAUUGUCCAGUUUAACUCCCGCGCCUUCAGGUUCAGCAGCUUGUGGCGCCCUGCUGGUAACACGCCGCCGCGCCGCUGCUAGUACCACCAAGGACGCCGCCGCCCGCGUCGUGCGCCACGGAGUAAUAGU